rnacentral:sRNA from 1 species
UGAAAGCAUAUGGACCUACAAUUAAUAU